rnacentral:lncRNA from 1 species
AGAAAAUGGUUGGAAUUGAGUUUAUAUCUAAUGGUUGAAACUAAAAUAGAUGCUAACAAAAUGUGGGAGAAAUUAAAAGAGUAGUAUGAACGAAAUAAUGUACAAAAUAAAGCAUUCUUAAUUUGGAAGCUGGUAUAUAUGAAAUACAAAGAUGGAGAUUCAAUGACAGAACAUAUGAGUAUUUGUUGUGACGUUGACCAAUUCAGCUCCAAGUGGAAAGCUGACAAUGUAAAUAGUAAAAGAGAGAAUGUUGAAUGAAGAAGUUUGAAGAAAGGGAUGUGGUUUGAUUGAUUAUUCCUAAGAGUUAGAAGCCCUAGUUACAGAGUCACGUGGGAAAAGUCAAUCUAGAAACUUCCAUAGACGCAACAACUCUGAAAGUCAUAGCAAGUAAAGAAGCAAAUCGAGGACUAGAUAAGAAGUGAUAUGCUACCAUUGUGGAAAACAGGUCACAUAAAAAGAAAUUGCGGAUUUUCAAAAGAG